rnacentral:pre_miRNA from 1 species
UUAACUCAAAUUUGUAUGGAGUUGGAACGUUUACUUACGUUUGCCGCUAGGGGCGCUGUUCCAACUGCAUACAAAUAUGAGUUA